rnacentral:lncRNA from 1 species
ACCUCAAACGUACUCCAAAUCUACAUAAUUUCAUAAAUUUUUUUUCAAAAUCUUCAAGUCAUAGAUCACAUCACAGCAUCCCACUGCUGAAUAUCUUCUUGUCGAGACAACUAUACCUCUAUACAAAAGUAAGUCCAAUAAUAAAAAAAAAUAAGGAUAAUUAGAAAAGAAAUAAUUCACAGGUAGUCACAUCUAACAAUCCUGG